CCUACGGGGGGCUGCAGUGGGGAAUAUUGGACAAUGGGGGCAACCCUGAUCCAGCCAUGCCGCGUGUGUGAAGAAGGCCCUCGGGUUGUAAAGCACUUUCUGUGAGGAAGAACGCCUGGUGGUUAAUACCCAUCAGGAAAGACAUCACUCACAGAAGAAGCACCGGCUAACUCCGUGCCAGCAGCCGCGGUAAUACGGAGGGUGCGAGCGUUAAUCGGAAUUACUGGGCGUAAAGCGCGCGUAGGUGGCUUGAUAAGCCGGUUGUGAAAGCCCCGGGCUCAACCUGGGAACGGCAUCCGGAACUGUCAAGCUAGAGUGCAGGAGAGGAAGGUAGAAUUCCCGGUGUAGCGGUGAAAUGCGUAGAGAUCGGGAGGAAUACCAGUGGCGAAGGCGGCCUUCUGGACUGACACUGACACUGAGGUGCGAAAGCGUGGGUAGCAAACAGGAUUAGAUACCCGUGUAGUC
rnacentral:rRNA from 1 species